UGAGGAAUAUUGGACAAUGGGCGCAAGCCUGAUCCAGCAAUACCGCGUGCAGGAUGAAGGCCUUCGGGUUGUAAACUGCUUUUGUACGGGACGAAAAGGCUCUGGUUAAUACCUGGGGCUCAUGACGGUACCGUAAGAAUAAGCACCGGCUAACUACGUGCCAGCAGCCGCGGUAAUACGUAGGGUGCAAGCGUUAAUCGGAAUUACUGGGCGUAAAGCGUGCGCAGGCGGUUAUGUAAGACAGAUGUGAAAUCCCCGGGCUCAACCUGGGACCUGCAUUUGUGACUGCAUAGCUAGAGUACGGCAGAGGGGGAUGGAAUUCCGCGUGUAGCAGUGAAAUGCGUAGAUAUGCGGAGGAACACCGAUGGCGAAGGCAAUCCCCUGGGCCUGUACUGACGCUCAUGCACGAAAGCGUGGGGAGCAAACA
rnacentral:rRNA from 1 species